UAAGGAAUAUUGGGCAAUGGAGGCAACUCUGACCCAGCCAUACCGCGUGAAGGAUGGAGGCCCUACGGGUCGUAAACUUCUUUUGUCAGGGAAUAAAGUCAUCCACGUGUGGAUGUUUGCAGGUACCUGAAGAAUAAGCAUCGGCUAACUCCGUGCCAGCAGCCGCGGUAAUACGGAGGAUGCGAGCGUUAUCCGGAUUUAUUGGGUUUAAAGGGUGCGUAGGCGGACCGUUAAGUCAGCGGUGAAAGUUCCCGGCUCAACCGGGUCAGUGCCGUUGAUACUGGCGGUCUUGAAUACGGUCAAGGCAGGCGGAAUGUGAUGUGUAGCGGUGAAAUGCAUAGAUAUGUCACAGAACUCCGAUAGCGAAGGCAGCUUGCCGGGCCUGUAUUGACGCUGAGGCACGAAAGCGUGGGGAUCAAACAGG
rnacentral:rRNA from 2 species